AUCACUCUCUGUUAAUAUUGCUAUUUCAGUUACAACGCCUGCUUCCACCCCCCCUACACAUUUGAUUUUAUUACCACAUUUCUAUUCGUAUGGACAGUGUCUUCGUCAGAAUAAAAAUCACAAGAUGGAAUUAGAUCUAGAUCUAUAUUUUUUUUUAAUAGGCCUAUUUGAUUUCCUUUUUUUUAAUGGAAGGAUGUUUAAAAAGGAAAACUAAACCCAAAUUAAUGAAAAACAUAUUUAAGAAUAUAAUAGUAUAGAUCUAAUCUUUUUAAAGAUAUUCAAUCACAUGCAUGUUUUAUUUACUAGUAGUAGAGUAGUGUGUUUUAGCAAUGCUUAAUGGACACAAGCGAGUUGACGAGAUUCCUUCCAUAGUGUUGUUGACAUGGAAUAAAAACGUGCUUUUUAGAUUUAGACCGUAAAAAAAAAAAAAAAAAAAACUUAAGCCUAAAAUUAAUUUAGAAAUUUUAUAUUUUUAGAAUAAAUGCUAUAAAAGUUGCAAAUCCAGAGAACUUGAAAAUAAUUUGUUGAGUUUAAGACUACAUUUCUAUUUAUUUUAAUCAAGCCUAAGUUAUAACCGGAUGCUUCACUUUCCUUGUCCACAGAGAUCUGGCAGCUCGCAAUGUGUUUGUCACAGACAGGGGCGUGUGCAAGAUCACAGACUUCGGGCUGGCUCGAUGUCUGGGGGACACUGACCACUACGACAGGUCGUCCAAGGGUCCACUGCCGGUUAGAUGGUUGGCACCAGAAAGUUUGAUCGACAGAACACACAGCACCAAAUCUGAUGUCUGGGCCUACGGCAUUCUUCUUAGGGAGAUUGUUACGCUAGAUACGAGCUCAUGUGCAGCUGCUGGUCCUUCCUCCCAGAGAACCGUCCAACGUUUGAUGCCCUGUGUCGCAGGUUCGAGACUCUGCUGGAAAAGGAAAAAGAUUACAUCAAUCUGGAACUAUUCCAGAGCGAACAGUACGCUUGUCUGGAUGCGGACAUAAUGGAUGAGAAGUUAUAGGACAUAAAGCUGGUUCUAUGAGAAGAUAUGACAUAAAUGAGAAGAUAUAGGGCAUAAAACUGGUUGGAUUUGAAGAUAUAGGACAUAAAGCUGGUUGGAUUAGAAGAUAUAGGACAUAAAUGAGGAGAUAUAGGGCAUAAAACUGGUUGGAUUAGCCCCUUAAUGCCUGAAUUAUGUUCCAAGCGUGUAAAAAAUUAUUUGUACUGAUUUUCUCUCAUCAUACUGACACUGAAUUUGAGGUAUAUAUUUGUUUUUGAAUUUUGACUUUUUUUUAUGAUAAUUACGGUAUGUCGCGAAAACGCGACAUCAGGCACUUAUGGACCAAACAGUAAUUUAACUUUUUUUUAGUCCGGGUCAUUUUACUAUUUUUACUGUCACAUGUUUCUCUAAAUAUCCAUGCACAAACAAUAAAAUAUCACAAAGUAAACAUACGGACAUGCAAGGAGAUGUAGAAUCACUUUCAAAACUCAUGAAAACUAUAUUUUAUUAGCUCAGGCAUAGAGUUACAUAACUCUGCUGCACCUGCUCACUGACUAACUCUUAUGAAUAGGUAUUUUGAUGUCUUGCUGUCGUAAUUCUACUACACUACAGUAACACACUACAUAUGAAAGGACUUCCUUCAAUGUGUAGAGC